AUCAAACAAAUUUUGAUCUUAAUCUCCUUUGAUCCAAUGGUUGGAAAGAGUAUUCUACAGAUUGCUCAUAGCCACAUGAAGUCAUCUGGCCUCUAUAAAAAAAUCCAUGCAAAGAUUGGCGCAGAUCAAGGGCUUGGAGAUGCUAGUCUGCAAACAAUUUUGAUAGCUGACCUUUUUCUUCUUCUACAAGCACCUUGGAUACUCUAAAGUGA
rnacentral:lncRNA from 1 species